UACGUAGGGGGCUAGCGUUGUCCGGAAUCAUUGGGCGUAAAGCGCGUGUAGGCGGUCCGGUAAGUCCGCUGUGAAAGUCUGGGGCUCAACCCUCGGAUGCCGGUGGAUACUGUCGGGCUUGAGUACGGAAGAGGCGAGUGGAAUUCCUGGUGUAGCGGUGAAAUGCGCAGAUAUCAGGAGGAACACCAAUUGCGAAGGCAGCUCGCUGGGACGUUACUGACGCUGAGGAGCGAAAGCGUGGGGAGCGAACAGG
rnacentral:rRNA from 1 species